GACAGGACAAGGAGCUUUUUGCCCUUAACACUCCUGACUUUGCUGCUGUGAUGCAGUGUGGUGAUUAGAGGAGAGCUUUUCAAGUGUCCCUCUGAGAGUCUGAGCACAGUCUGGCCCCUUGCACCUGUGGGGUUUCAGUACUCACUCACCAAAGGAAAAGCUUGGUUCCAGCUCUGACUGCGCUGUCCCCAGGGAAGGAAGGGUCCUGGUGACCUGGCAGGGGACAUGGAGCUGCUGGCUGUCACAGCCGCAGAGGAAGCAGGGAAGGAUGCAACAGCAUCACAACCCAAGGUGGAAGGAGCAGAAGAAGCAGCUGCAAUGCCAGAGGCAGAAAGCUUAGAAGGGAAGGUUAUCACUGCUGAAGGAGCAGCAGCAACUGUGGUGGGAGCGUCAGAAAACCCAGCAGCAGAAAGAGUGGCUAAAGCGUUUGCCAGGGCAGCAGAAAGAAUUGCAGGAGCAGAAGUAGCCAAGGUGCUGCAGUCAGCAAUAGCUGAGCUCAAAGGAAAGAGGAAGGAUGUGUGGAUAAAGCCAAGGAACGCCACUCAGCAGGAAGAGGAUUGGAUGAAAGAGGGAGAGGUGAAAUGAAAUGGAGAGGUGAUGUUCUGGGUCAUACCUCCUAAUGGCUUGUACCAUCACUCCUGGAAUGCAAUAGGGCUGCCAAUCACAUCUCUUUUGUGACUCAUUAUACUGUUAAAAAUAAAUAUAUGGCAUAUUCUGCA
rnacentral:lncRNA from 1 species